rnacentral:rRNA from 1 species
CCUACGGGUGGCAGCAGUGGGGAAUAUUGCGCAAUGGGCGAAAGCCUGACGCAGCGACGCCGCGUGAGGGAUGAAGGUCUUCGGAUCGUAAACCUCUGUCAGCAGGGAAGAACGGUCACUGUGCUAAUCAGCAGUGAAAUGACGGUACCUGCAAAGGAAGCACCGGCUAACUCCGUGCCAGCAGCCGCGGUAAUACGGAGGGUGCGAGCGUUGAUCGGAAUUACUGGGCGUAAAGGGCUCGUAGGCGGUAUGUCAAGUCAAGGGUGAAAUCCCCGGGCUCAACGUCGGAACUGCCUUUGAUACUGGCAGACUAGAGUGUGUGAGCGGAUAGUGGAAUGCCAGGUGUAGCAGUGAAAUGCGUAGAGAUCUGGCGGAACAUCAGUGGCGAAGGCGACUAUCUGGCACAUAACUGACGCUGAGGAACGAAAGCGUGGGUAGCAAACAGGAUUAGAUACCCCAGUAGUC